rnacentral:rRNA from 1 species
UGGGGAAUAUUGGGCAAUGGGGGCAGCCCUGACCCAGCAACGCCGCGUGAAGGAAGAAGGCUUUCGGGUUGUAAACUUCUUUGACCAGGGACGAAACAAAUGACGGUACCUGGAAAACAAGCCACGGCUAACUACGUG